AGAGUUUGAUCAUGGCUCAGGAUGAACGCUAGCUACAGGCUUAACACAUGCAAGUCGAGGGGAAACGACAUCGAAAGCUUGCUUUUGAUGGGCGUCGACCGGCGCACGGGUGAGUAACGCGUAUCCAACCUGCCCACCACUUGGGGAUAACCUUGCGAAAGUAAGACUAAUACCCAAUGACGUCUCCAGAAGACAUCUGAAAGAGAUUAAAGAUUUAUCGGUGAUGGAUGGGGAUGCGCCUGAUUAGCUUGUUGGCGGGGUAACGGCCACCAAGGCGACGAUCAGUAGGGGUUCUGAGAGGAAGGUCCCCCANAUUGGAACUGAGACACGGUCCAAACUCCUACGGGAGGCA
rnacentral:rRNA from 1 species